CUCAGCUGUAGGCAAUUGUCUAGGUUGCCUUGUACCUAGACAAGUGUCACACAGCUAGGAGAAAAGUAGCCAAUAGCUGGCAGGCAGUCUGGACCUGGCUAAUGCCACAUCUGUGUUAACUAUACUGUGUGCCAGCAGA
rnacentral:snoRNA from 1 species